AUGUUAGCUUGACUAACGAGGCGCGAGUGGCGGACGGUGAGUACGCGUAGAUCUACAAUAGCGGGAUAGCCCGGAGAAAUCCGGAUUAAUACCGCAUAAUCUCUACGGAGUAAAGAGGGCCCCCUAUUUAUAAGCUUUCACUAUUUGAUGAGCCUGCGUAAGAUUAGCUUGUUGGUGAGGUAAAAGCUCACCAAGGCGACGAUCUUUAGCUGGUCUGAGAGGAUGAUCAGCCACACUGGGACUGAGACACGGCCCAGACUCC
rnacentral:rRNA from 1 species